AUGAGUGGUCAGAGUCUUGCAUUUAAUAUGCAAGUUGGGUGUCUGCCCCAAGCCUGUUACGACAAUUGGGCACUCUCAUUUGAUCAAUCUGAUCCCUAUAAAUAUUAUACUCACAGGGGUAGGGAAAAUGCUAUUAUUGACGAGCUGAGGUCUAUUGAGAAAAGUAGAACCUGCGAGCUAUCUAAAUUACUAAAAUAUCAUUGA